CGGGUAGAGCCGGGGACUCUGAUAAGACUGCCUGCGCAAGCAGAGAGGAAGGAGGGGACGACGUCAAGUCAUCAUGGCCCUUACGCCCAGGGCGACACACGUGCUACAAUGGCGCAUACAGCGGGUAGCUACCUGGCAACAGGAUGCCAACCUCUAAAAGUGCGUCUCAGUUCGGAUUGGGGUCUGCAACCCGACCCCAUGAAGCUGGAAUCGCUAGUAAUCGCGCAUCAGCCAUGGCGCGGUGAAUACGUUCCCGGACCUU
rnacentral:rRNA from 1 species